GUGUUAUUAAGCAUAAUCUGUGUAUUCGUUAACAGCCGCCACUCCCCUCAGUCCUCUACUCUCUCCGUCUCAGCCCACUCACUUUCUUUCUUCUUUCUCUAACUCUCAACACUCUCCACUCUCACUCUCAAUAAUCCUCCACUGAGCUUCUUUGCCUCCGUUUUGCAUCCUUGUCGAGCUUCUCACAUCGCCUCGGGCUCGGUUGCAGACUGCCCAAACUGGUCAAUAGAAUGGCUGGGGUUCGAGAAAUCACGACUUCUGAAUUCUUACAAGGAAUACAUAAGCAAAAUCGUGUUUUUCAUUGUACUUCUCGAGCUCCAAGAUCAAAUCCUCUAUGGGGCAUGAUAUUGCGUCCUAGAAGAGGAAUUCCAUUGAGUUUGAGGUGCCGCGCUCAGGCAAAGCCCAAAGCUGUUGUUUCUGAUGGCUUGGGCAGUCCGGUAACUGAGCAAUCCACAAUCAAGCCUGGUGCUGGAGUUGUACAUUUUUAUCGGGUGCCGCUGAUUCAGGAUAGCGCUACAUCUGAGCUUCUCAAGUCUUUUCAAGCUAAAGUCUCAACUCAGAUUCUUGGUUUAAAAACAGAGCAGUGUUUCAACAUUGGGCUUCAGUCAGAACUUUCAGCAGAAAAGUUAUCCGUUCUUAAGUGGCUUCUUCAGGAGACUUAUGAGCCUGAGAAUUUGGGGGCUGAGAGUUUCCUUGAGAAGAAAAGGCAGGAAGGGUUGAGUAUGGUUAUAAUUGAGGUUGGUCCCCGGUUAUCUUUUACGACUGCAUGGUCUUCUAAUGCUGUAUCAAUUUGUCAAGCUUGCGGUUUGACAGAGGUGACUCGAUUGGAACGCUCGAGGAGAUACUUGUUGUAUAGUAAAGGUCCGUUGCAGGAUACUCAGAUCAAUGAGUUAGCUGCAAUGGUUCAUGAUAGGAUGACUGAGUGUGUUUAUACUCAGAAGCUUACAUCUUUUGAGACGACUGUGAUUCCAGAGGAGGUUCGCUAUGUACCUGUCAUGGAAAAUGGCCGGAAAGCAUUGGAGGAAAUUAAUCAACAAAUGGGUUUAGCGUUUGAUGAGCAAGAUCUCCAAUAUUACACUAGGCUUUUUAGAGAGGAAAUCAAGCGUAAUCCAACGACAGUGGAACUAUUUGAUAUUGCACAAUCUAACAGCGAGCAUAGCAGACAUUGGUUUUUCACUGGUAAAAUAGUUAUAGAUGGAAAGCCAAUGGACAGGACUCUCAUGCAGAUUGUGAAGAGCACUUUGCAAGCAAAUCCAAACAAUUCCGUAAUUGGGUUCAAGGAUAACUCGAGUGCAAUAAAGGGGUUUCCUGUCAAGCAUUUGCGACCAGUUCAUCCGGGUUCAACAUGUCCAUUAGAGUCAGCUCUUCGAGAUCUUGAUGUGUUGUUUACUGCUGAAACACACAAUUUUCCAUGUGCAGUGGCACCUUACCCUGGUGCAGAAACUGGUGCAGGUGGACGUAUAAGGGAUACUCAUGCGACAGGGAGAGGUUCUUUUGUUGUUGCUUCAACAGCUGGUUAUUGUGUUGGGAAUCUCAAUAUGGAGGGUUCUUAUGCUCCUUGGGAAGAUCCUUCUUUCACUUAUCCAUCUAAUUUGGCAUCACCUUUGCAGAUUCUUAUAGAUGCUAGUAAUGGUGCAUCUGACUACGGGAACAAGUUUGGAGAGCCGUUGAUUCAGGGCUACACUAGAACUUUUGGAAUGCGACUUCCAAGUGGGGAAAGACGUGAAUGGCUAAAACCAAUUAUGUUUAGUGCAGGCAUUGGGCAGAUUGAUCACACCCACAUAUCGAAAGGCGAGCCUGACAUUGGAAUGCUGGUUGUGAAAAUUGGAGGCCCAGCUUACCGUAUUGGUAUGGGAGGUGGGGCUGCAUCAAGCAUGGUUAGUGGACAGAAUGAUGCAGAGCUUGAUUUUAAUGCUGUACAACGUGGAGAUGCAGAGAUGGCACAAAAAUUGUAUCGGGUAGUUCGUGCUUGCAUUGAGAUGGGAGAGAAUAACCCAAUCAUUAGCAUUCAUGAUCAAGGAGCUGGCGGAAAUUGUAAUGUUGUUAAGGAAAUCAUUUAUCCAAAGGGUGCUGAGAUUGAUAUCCGGGCCAUUGUAGUUGGUGACCACACAAUGUCAGUGUUGGAGAUAUGGGGUGCUGAAUAUCAAGAGCAAGAUGCAAUUUUGGUGAAAGCUGAAAGUCGUGACCUUCUGCAGUCUAUUUGCGAAAGAGAAAGGGUUUCUAUGGCUGUUAUUGGAACCAUUAAUGGUCAGGGUCGGGUUGUUCUGGUUGAUAGUGAAGCUAUUGAAAAAUGCCAAUCAAGUGGACUUCCUAAACCUCCCCCUGCUGUGGAUUUGGAGCUGGAUAAAGUACUUGGGGACAUGCCACAGAAGACCUUUGAAUUCCAUCGAGUCAUUGAUGCAAGAGAGUCACUUGAUAUUGCUCCUGGGAUAACUGUCAUGGAUGCUCUUAAGAGGGUAUUAAGACUUCCAUCUGUUUGUUCAAAGCGUUUCUUGACUACCAAGGUGGACAGGUGUGUAACUGGGCUUGUAGCCCAGCAGCAAACUGUUGGACCCCUGCAAAUUACUCUUGCUGAUGUUGCAGUUAUUGCUCAAACAUAUACUGACUUUACUGGAGGCGCAUGUGCGAUUGGGGAGCAGCCAAUUAAAGGUUUGCUAGAUCCAAAAGCAAUGGCAAGAUUGGCUGUUGGAGAAGCGCUCACUAAUCUUGUUUGGGCAAAGGUGACUUCUUUGGCUGACGUUAAAGCAAGUGGAAAUUGGAUGUAUGCUGCCAAACUCGAUGGGGAAGGAGCUGCUAUGUAUGAUGCUGCUAAUGCUCUUUCUGAAGCUAUGAUUGAGCUUGGUAUUGCUAUUGAUGGGGGAAAGGAUAGUCUUUCAAUGGCUGCCCAUUCUGGAGGGGAGGUUGUUAAGGCUCCUGGAAAUCUUGUAAUAAGUGUCUAUGUGACUUGUCCUGACAUAACGAAAACAAUUACCCCUGAUUUGAAGUUAGGAGAUGAUGGUGUGCUACUUCACAUUGACUUGGCAAAGGGAAAGCGUCGUUUGGGUGGAUCUGCGCUUGCUCAAGUUUUUGACCAAGUUGGGGAUGAUUGUCCUGACCUUGAUGACGUUCCUUAUCUUAAAAGAGUUUUUGAGUGCACUCAGGCACUUCUUGAAGAUGAGUUCAUCUCUGCUGGUCAUGACAUUAGUGAUGGUGGGUUACUGACAUGUGUUCUAGAGAUGGCAUUUUCUGGGAACUGUGGUGUUGUGUUGGAUUUGAAUUCACAUGGGAAGAGCCUUUUCCAAACACUCUUUGCUGAAGAACUUGGUCUAAUUAUUGAGGUAAGUACAAAGAACUUGGAUAUUGUGAUGGAGAAGCUAGCUAGUGAAGGUAUAUCUGCCAACAUUGUUGGACAAGUAAGUUCUGAACCCACAGUUGAAUUGAAGGUCGAUGGGCUGUCUCAUUUGAAUGAGACUACUUCUUUCCUUAGGGACAUGUGGGAGGAAACCAGUUUUGAGUUGGAAAGGUUUCAGAGAUUGGCUUCUUGUGUUGAUCAAGAGAAAGAGGGGUUGAAAGUUAGGCAUGAACCCUCGUGGAACUUAUCCUUCACUCCUUCCUUCACAGAUGAGAAGUAUAUGAACGCAACAUCAAAACCAAAGGUGGCUGUAAUUCGAGAAGAAGGGAGCAAUGGAGAUAGAGAAAUGUCUGCAGCCUUUUAUGCUUCUGGUUUUGAGCCAUGGGAUGUGACUAUGUCAGACCUUUUAAAUGGGUCAAUCUCACUGGAUGAUUUCAGAGGAGUGGUAUUUGUUGGUGGUUUCAGUUAUGCUGAUGUUCUCGACUCAGCAAAAGGAUGGGCUGCAUCAAUACGAUUCAAUCGACCCCUUCUAAAUCAAUUUCAGGAGUUCUACAAGCGGCCAGACACAUUUAGCCUUGGCAUUUGUAAUGGCUGUCAGCUUAUGGCUCUAUUGGGAUGGAUUCCGGGUCCCCAAGUUGGUGGUGUUCAUGGUCUUGGUGGGGAUCCAUCACAGCCAAGGUUCAUUCACAAUGAGUCUGGACGAUUUGAGUGUCGAUUCACAAAUGUGACAAUUAGAGACUCACCAGCUGUAAUGUUUAAAGGAAUGGAGGGUAGUACAUUGGGGGUGUGGGCUGCUCAUGGUGAGGGAAGAGCAUACUUCCCUGAUGAUGGCGUUUUUGAUAGAGUGCUUCAUUCCAAUUUGGCCCCAGUAAGAUACUGUGACGAUGAUGGGAAUGAGACAGAGCAAUAUCCAUUUAAUAUGAAUGGCUCUCCUUUAGGAGUUGCUGCUAUUUGUUCACCAGAUGGGAGACAUCUUGCUAUGAUGCCUCAUCCUGAGCGUUGUUUCCUAAUGUGGCAAUACCCAUGGUAUCCGAAGAACUGGAAUGUGGACAAGAAAGGUCCAAGUCCCUGGUUGAAAAUGUUCCAAAAUGCCAGAGAUUGGUGCUCUUGAGAGCAUGCCCAGUGGCUGGAGUAUCUCAGUUUCUAUACUGUGAAUGAGGUUGCAAAAACGUUCAAAGGUUAAUUGGAAGAUCUUGCUUCCUCUCUUGCUAACAUAUUUUGACAAGGUUUCAAGUUUUUGUUUACUUUUAGUCAAGCAAGGACCCAAAAUUUGAAGAGAUGGACAUUUCAGUUUUCCAAUAUUACCUGUAUGCUUGAUCUGAUAAGAUCGUUUUCUUAAUCUCCAUUGUGACACAACAGAGCAGAGCUGGUACACCAGGAGAAUAAUUACAUUUUUCAUAAGUAUCUUUAGAUAUUUCUUUUGGUUAUUCUAACUUUGCUUUGUUCGGCUCCCAAUUACUUCCACCAAUACAAAUACAUGCAUUCCUACUUUAUAUAUUCGCCCUUAUUAUCAUGUAAUUUAUAUAUAUAACCCAAAAAAUAAAAUGUGUGAUGAGUAUUGUUGCAAGGUCCCCAAGGCACAUAAAGUCCCAGUUUAAUUGGUUUUAAGAUAGUUUCUUGAUUAAAA